CAUAUGUUCAUGAGUUUGCGAUGUACCUAUAUUCAAUCCUAACUAUUACUAGCUAACUAUGUGGACUUUGUAGAGGAUGUACGUGUCUAUUAUUUGCAGACCCACGUCAACUUAAUUUCAUGUGCUUGUGCUUUGGUAAAAUUUUAAUUUCUCUCUGUUUGCAUGUCGUUCUUCUCUCUACUUUCUGGUGAGUUCUAUUUUUCUGUUCCAUUUCUGCUUCUUUGUUUUUGCCACUAUUCUGAAGUUGUUUCCAUAUAUUCACAAAUUUCAUCAAUUUCCUCUCUUUUUUCCAUUUGAGUUACUCUAUCCUCUUUGGCCCUUUCAUCUUCACUUCAAUUUCUACUUUUGUGGUUUGCUUUCAUCAAUUUUAGAUGGCCAUGCUUCUAUUGACGUCCUGCUGCUGUUAAUUCUUUUCUAGGGAGUUGGAAGGUUUCAAACAUUUCUUAAGAUUAAAGGAAUUCUGGGUUGUUUAUGGGCCGACAGUGAAUAAAUUUUGAAGUGAAGUUUGGUUAAGCAUUGAAGCCAUGGAAGCUGAGAAGAUCUAUUACAGAGGUUUCUGCCACUGAACUUGCUUAUUCACCGGAAAGAACUGUAUUAUGAGUUGGAGCUGGAAGGGUCUGAGAUGGGGAGAAAUUCAUAAACAAGAUGUAUAUUCCAAGCAACAGAGUUCAACAUAAGAUAACUUGGCCAAGAUGAAUCUAUUUGAGGAAGGAGAGAAAUAGAAGAUGCUUUGCAGGAAAUCAAAAGGAGGAGACAUUCCUUUCUACCUCUGUCCAAGAAACAAUAGCAAUCUAUAAUGUGGUAUAACCGGUACUCAUUCACCCCUACUACUUGUGCUCUUAUCAUAUAUUUGGUUAUUUUAGUUACAGAAUAAGCUUGACUACUAAGGCUGAGAAGUGAAGACAAACUGAAACACGACAUAGUUAAUAAGAUUUGUCUCAUAAAAAAGGUUUUCUGGUUAGUACUGUUAUAAGAGUUUUUGUCUAGAAGACAGUUGUGUUCCAAUUGGCUUUCGAUGCUAAAUGUUGAUUUUGACCGUUUGUACCAACGUAUUUAACUUGCUUGAGAUGUUGGUACCUGAUGGGAUAUUAUAUCCAUUCACAGAGACAUCCAGUAAUAGGUUCCGUCAUGCAUUUUUUUGCUAAACGUGGAAAGAAAUUAUAGGCGUUUUGAAAAUAGUUAUCGGCCCUUACCAUGUAUCCAGUUCAAAUCAUUGCCAGUUUAUUCUUGGUAUAAUUUGAAAGAUGCCUAGUAUGUAACCAUUCUUUUUAGAUUUUUUUUUUAACUCUUUAAAGACACGAUAGGGUGAAAAUCCUUUUGUAGAGAAUUAAGCAAAAUCCUAUUUGCUAUACAUAUUUGGCACCAGCUUGGUGCGUAGCAAUGAAGUUUAUCUUUCCAUCAGAAAAGAAGAAAAGGAAAAAAGACAGACAUACCGUAAAAACCAAAAACCUUCAAAGAUGGCAAGAUGACAGGAUGGUGAUGAACUGGCAUAACCAACAGUUUAGCAUCUGUUUUGUAGCAAAUAAUCGAUAUACAAUUAACCUAAGCUUUGCAACUGUGGACUAUUAACAUAUUUGCAUAGUUUCUUACAUGCUUUUGUCUGUGAGAACUAAGAACUAGCUUGAGGAAACGGAAGAGUUAUCUGACAUUUGAUGGUUUAUUGAUGCAUGCUUCACGGGACUUUUGUUCUAACAUAAAUUGAUUGUAUAUUAGGCUAUCAGAAUUCAAUGUUUUACAAAGCUACUUCAACAUAAUUGAAAUUUGCAAACUAAACUUUCAAAUUCGUUCUUUUUAUUUUUAAAUGUUGAGGAAAGAAAAGUACUUCUGUUUUCCUUCUUUUUUUCCUUCUUAUAGAGAUUUAGAAUGUUAAAACUUACUCUGGGGAAAAUGACCAAUGAAGUGUUGGGAAAAUUAAGGUGUUCUUUUGAUAAUCUCGUGAUGUGAAUUUGCAGAAUAAUCCUAAUCCCGCUUUAAGAAAGUAUAGUUUCAGGUUGAGCCUGAGCUGAUAUGAAUCAAUGUAUGAUAAUUGUUUGGUCAUAGCUAUUGGUUUUUGGCAGAUUCUAAAUGCAGAAGUGGGCUAAGAUCGAGUAGCAUGUAAGAGAUGAUAGUUUGUCUAGCACUAUCCGUUUAAGGGGAUACUACAAAUUACUAAGUGUACUACAAAUUACUAAGUGUCAAGUAUUUAAGUAGACUUCACUGAAAAGGCUUUUGUAUGUAUUUAUUUUCCCUGUGUGUUAAAAUCAUUGAGUACAUGCUUUUAUACCUUUUCAGCUACUCGAUAUAUAUCUUUCUAUACAUGUUUUACCCAGAGGAUAGGACACAAGAAUCAGGUAUUGUGGAAAUUAUUUACCACUCCAUCUGCUUAGAAAAGGCAUAAAUAAAAAGAGAGUUAUGGCAGAGUAUAUUUGGGAUAAAGAAUCUACCUCUGUACCCUUUGGUUUUCUUCAAUUAUAUUUGGUGCAUUAAUCUUCGGUGUUGUGUUCAACCACCUUGGAGACAUUUUAGAAUUAAUACAGCUUUAUAUAAGAGAAAAUUUAUUUUGUUAUUUGUCCUUUACUUGGCAGGAGGUCAAAGAUCAUACAAUGCAUUUUAUUCCUUUGUUUUGAUGGAAUGCCAUCUUUAGCUCUUAGAUGACUAACCUUGGCACUUUGGCUGUUUUACUAUUAGAAAAUAUGCUAAUGCUGUAAAGAGUGCUAACAUAAUUCAUAACACUGCCCAGUGUCUCAUACCGUGUCAGGAACUGUUUGAAUCUACUCCCAACAACAGUUGAAGCGCUUUCAGAGAAACUAUAUCCUGAACUUCGUCAAAUCUUCUAAGUUGUCAAGUUGUAUUUACACAGUUGACAGAUCUUUGAGAACGCCUCCAUGCUAGGACUAUAAACUCACAUAUGUUUACUGGAUUUCUCUAAUUUGGUUGAUCUUGUGUUUAAAAUAUAUAUUUUUCCCGAGAGCAUACUUGCCUUUUGAUUUUUUAGACAUUGAAGGAUGCCAGAGUCCAUAAGGUAGGUAUAAUUUGGAUGUGUUGGAAGUGAAGUGAACGCUAGGUUAUAUUUGAUUGCUACAUGUUUUAAUUUUUUUCCAGCGUAAUCUAUGUUAUCAGUUGGAAUCUUCAACUUUGUCUUCCAUAUUUCCCCAGACAAUAAUGUUUCAUACCUGUGGUCUCCUGAUUUGUGUUAGAAACCUUGUAAUUUAUAUUUUGCAGGUUAACCCCUUGUAGGAAAAAGUUCAAAUCUUUUCAUCCUCGAUGGUUUCCUCCGUCACAUGUAUUUGAAGCAGAACAUUCAUUUAGAUGGAUGAAAAUGGCUUUGCGUUAACAGUAGAAGAUAUUAUUAGUUUGAAUAUUCUCCCGUUUGUGUAAUUGUAACUAAAGUGAUAGAAUACAAGUACUUUUUAUCUAUAUUGUUGCAGUUCAGUUAUAGAGUUACCUUAACUAAUUUAUUCA